rnacentral:rRNA from 1 species
GACGAACGCUGGCGGUGUGCUUAACACAUGCAAGUCGAGCGAGAACCACAGGAGGGGUAACCCUCUUGUGGGGAAAGCGGCGAACGGGUGAGUAACACGUGGGCAACCUGCCCCAGACACUGGGAUAAGCCCGGCAAACCGGGUCUAAUACCGGAUACUCUCGACCCACCACAUGGCGGGACGAGGAAAGCUCCCGCGGUCUGGGAUGGGCCCGCGGCCUAUCAGCUUGUUGGCGGGGUGACGGCCCACCAAGGCUUCGACGGGUAGCAGGAGUGGUGGCGUGGCGAGCCACACUGUGACUGAGACACGGCCCAGACUCCUACGGGAGGCGGCAGUGGGGAAUCUUGCGCAAAGGGCGAAAGCCUGGCGCAGCGACACCGCGUGAGGGAUGAAGGCCCUCGGGUUGUAAACCUCUUUCGGCAGGGACGAAGCGAAAGUGACGGUACCUGCAGAAGAAGCCCCGGCUAACUACGUGCCAGCCGCCGCCGUAACAC